CUAUGCGCCUUGCCAGCCCGCUCAGGUGUGCCAGCCGCCGCGGUAAUACGUAGGUGGCAAGCGUUAUCCGGAUUUACUGGGUGUAAAGGGCGUGUAGGCGGGAAAGCAAGUCAGAUGUGAAAACCAUGGGCUCAACCUGUGGCCUGCAUUUGAAACUGUUUUUCUUGAGUACUGGAGAGGCAGACGGAAUUCCUAGUGUAGCGGUGAAAUGCGUAGAUAUUAGGAGGAACACCAGUGGCGAAGGCGGUCUGCCGGACAGCAACUGACGCUGAGGCGCGAAAGCGUGGGGAGCAAACAGG
rnacentral:rRNA from 1 species